UACGUAGGGAGCAAGCGUUGUCCGGAAUCAUUGGGCGUAAAGCGCGCGUAGGCGGCCUCACAAGUCCGCUGUAAAAGUCAAAGGCUCAACCUUUGAAUGCCAGUGGAAACUGUGAGGCUAGAGUCCGGAAGAGGCGAGUGGAACUCCUGGUGUAGCGGUGGAAUGCGCAGAUAUCAGGAAGAACACCAACGGCGAAGGCAGCUCGCUGGGACGGUACUGACGCUGAGGCGCGAAAGCGUGGGGAGCAAACAGG
rnacentral:rRNA from 1 species